GACGAACGCUGGCGGCGUGCUUAACACAUGCAAGUCGAACGGGCCUUGUCCCCUUUUUUUUUGGGGGUGGGGUUAGUGGCGAACGGGUGAGUAACACGUGAGUAACCUGCCCCUCACUUCUGGAUAACCGCUUGAAAGGGUGGCUAAUACGGGGUGUUCUGGCCUGCUCGCAUGGGUGGGUUUGGAAAGAUUCGACCGGUUUUGGUGGUUUUGGGGGGGGAGGGGCUCGCGGCCUAUCAGCUUGUUGGUGGGGUGAUGGCCUGCCAAGGCUUUGACGGGUAGCCGGCCUGAGAGGGUGGGCGGUCACACUGGGACUGAGACACGGCCCAGACUCCUACGGGAGGCAGCAGUGGGGAAUAUUGCACAAUGGGCGCAAGCCUGAUGCAGCGACGCCGCGUGAGGGAUGGAGGCCUUCGGGUUGUGAACCUCUUUCGCCAGUGAAGAAGGUCCUGCUCUUUGUGGUGGGGUUGACGGUAGCUGGGUUAAUGAAGCGCCGGCUAACUACGUG
rnacentral:rRNA from 1 species